UACGUAGGGCGCAAGCGUUGUCCGGAUUUAUUGGGCGUAAAGAGCUCGUAGGCGGUCUGUCGCGUCGGCUGUGAAAACCCGAGGCUCAACCUCGGGCCUGCAGUCGAUACGGGCAGACUAGAGUGUGGUAGGGGAGACUGGAAUUCCUGGUGUAGCGGUGAAAUGCGCAGAUAUCAGGAGGAACACCGGUGGCGAAGGCGGGUCUCUGGGCCAUUACUGACGCUGAGGAGCGAAAGCGUGGGGAGCGAACAGG
rnacentral:rRNA from 1 species